rfam:Oryza nivara chromosome 2, whole genome shotgun sequence.
AAUAAGCGCAGCUACGAGUUUCUCUGUCUAACUUUGAUCGUUCGUCUUAUUUAAAAAAAUAUGAUUAUUAUUUUUAUUGCUAUUAUACUAUAAAACAUAAAUAGUAAUUUAUGCGUACCUUGUGUUUUUAGUUUUCUUUAUAAUAAAUAAGACGGACGAUAAAAGUUAGAUGCGGAAACUCAUGACUGAGUUUAUU